CCUACGGGCGGCUGCAGUGGGGAAUAUUGGACAAUGGGCGAAAGCCUGAUCCAGCCAUGCCGCGUGUGUGAAGAAGGCCUUCGGGUUGUAAAGCACUUUCAGUGGGGAAGAAAGCCUUGGGGCUAAUACCCUCGAGGAAGGACAUCACCCACAGAAGAAGCACCGGCUAACUCCGUGCCAGCAGCCGCGGUAAUACGGAGGGUGCGAGCGUUAAUCGGAAUUACUGGGCGUAAAGCGCGCGUAGGCGGUCUGAUAAGCCGGUUGUGAAAGCCCCGGGCUCAACCUGGGAACGGCAUCCGGAAAUGUCAGGCGAGAGUGCAGGAGAGGAAGGUAGAAUUCCCGGUGUAGCGGUGAAAUGCGUAGAGAUCGGGAGGAAUACCAGUGGCGAAGGCGGCCUUCUGGACUGACACUGACGCUGAGGUGCGAAAGCGUGGGUAGCAAACAGGAUUAGAUACCCCAGUAGUC
rnacentral:rRNA from 1 species